GCGAGAGUGGCGGAAUUGGCAGACGCGCUAGACUUAGGAUCUAGUACCGAAAGGCGUGCGGGUUCAAGUCCCGCUUCUCGCA
rnacentral:tRNA from 1 species